GACGAACGCUGGCGGCGUGCCUAAUACAUGCAAGUCGAACGCAGUGGGGACGGGUGAGUAACACGUGGGUAACCUCCCAUCAGAGGGGAUAACACUUGGAAACAGGUGCUAAACCGAUACUGAUGGAUGGACCCGCGGUGCAGUAGCUAGUUGGUGAGAAAACGGCUCACCAAGGCCACGAUGCAUAGCCGACCUGAGAGGAUGAUCAGCCACACUGGGACUUAGACACGGCCCAGACUCCUACGUGAGGCAGCAGUAGGGAAUCUUCGGCAAUGGGCGAAAGUCUGACCGAGCAACGCCGCGUGAGUGAAGAAGGUUUUCGGAUCGUAAAACUCUGUUGUUGGAGAAGCGGUAUCUAACCAAGAAGCCACGGCUAACUACGUGCCAGCAGCCGCGGUAAUUC
rnacentral:rRNA from 1 species